CGUCUAGCCGCCCGCCUAGGCCCAUUUUUUAGAGUCUAAAGCACAAGAUUCCGAGGAUAGACUCGAAACGGUUGCCUCUCAGGCUCAAAAGAUGGCUGACAUUGUUACAGAACAAUGGAUUCAAAUUUAGCGCCUUGAGCAGGUUCUUCAUAUUACAUAAAACCAAAGGCUCCUCUUGGUUAGCAGAAUUCAAAGGAAUAUGGUUCCAGUGACCAGCUAGUAGAUGCAGCUUUGCCUGCUACUGAGGUCAAAUCAUCAGAACUGAG